UACGUAGGGGGCAAGCGUUGUCCGGAAUCAUUGGGCGUAAAGCGCGUGUAGGCGGUUCGAUAAGUCUGCUGUGAAAGUCCAGGGCUCAACCCUGGGAUGCCGGUGGAUACUGUCGGACUAGAGUACGGAAGAGGCGAGUGGAAUUCCCGGUGUAGCGGUGAAAUGCGCAGAUAUCGGGAGGAACACCAAUUGCGAAGGCAGCUCGCUGGGACGUCACUGACGCUGAGACGCGAAAGCGUGGGGAUCAAACAGG
rnacentral:rRNA from 1 species